GUAGUCUCGCACAGAUGCAUAUCAAUAAGCGGAGGAAAAGAAACUAACAAGGAUUCCCCUAGUAACGGCGAGUGAAGCGGGAAGAUGCUCAAAUUUGAAAUCUUAAAGGGUUUCCCUUUACGAAUUGUAGUUUAAAGAAGUGUUUUCUGUUGAGGUUUUGGUAAAAGUUCUUUGGAAUAGGACAUCAUAGAGGGUGAGAAUCCCGUAUUUGACCUUUACUUUCAACUUUGUGAUACACUUUCAAAGAGUCGGAUUGUUUGGGAAUGCAGUCCAAAAUGGGUGGUAAAUUUCAUCUAAAGCUAAAUAUUGGCGAGAGACCGAUAGCGAACAAGUACCGUGAGGGAAAGAUGAAAAGAACUUUGAAAAGAGAGUUAAACAGUACGUGAAAUUGUCAAAAGGGAAGCGUUUGACACCAGUGUUGUUUUUCUGAAAAUCAAUUAAAGAACUGUUUAUGCUAAGCUGUUUAGACUUUAUCAGCUAUCUGUUUAGUUUUGAGCUUUUCUUUAAUGCACUUUUCAGUUAACAAGUCAACCUCAAUUUCUUUUGCUGUAAAAAAGCUUGAGGAAGGUGGCUUGAGAUUCGUCUUAAGUGUUUAUAGCCUCUUGCCUAUGCAGUCGGAGAGAUUGAGGUCUGCAGCGUAGAUCCUUCGGGGCUAAAUGCAUUUGUGCUAAGUUAUAGCAUUUUAUAGACAACUUGUUGACUAUGAUUUGUCUUGUAGCUUACUCGCUUAUGUUAUUUUACCUACGCUUAGGAUGUUGAUCAGCAGUAUAGACUGU
rnacentral:rRNA from 1 species